rnacentral:misc_RNA from 1 species
GAUGAAGAACGCAGCGAAAUGCGAUAAGUAGUGUGAAUUGCAGAAUUCAGUGAAUCAUCGAAUCUUUGAACGCACAUUGCGCCCCUUGGUAUUCCAUGGGGCAUGCCUGUUCGAGCGUCAUUUGUACCUUCAAGCUUUGCUUGGUGUUGGGUGUUUGUCUCGCCUUUGCGUGUAGACCCGCCUUAAAAUAAUUGGCAGCCGGCGUAUUGAUUUCGGAGCGCAGUACAUCUCGCGCUUUGCACUCAUAACGACAGCGUCCAAAAGUACAUUUUACACUCUUGACCUCGGAUCAGGUAGGGAUACCCGCUGAACUUAAGCAUAUCAAUAAGCGGAGGA